CCUACGGGAGGCAGCAGUGGGGAAUAUUGCACAAUGGGGGAAACCCUGAUGCAGCGACGCCGCGUGAGUGAAGAAGUAAUUCGUUAUGUAAAGCUCUAUCAGCAGGGAAGAAAAUGACGGUACCUGAGUAAGAAGCCCCGGCUAACGACGUGCCAGCAGCCGCGGUAAUACGUAGGGGGCAAGCGUUAUCCGGAUUUACUGGGUGGAAAGGGAGCGUAGCCGGCAGUGCAAGUCUGGAGUGAAAGGCGGGGGCUCAACCCCCGGACUGCUCUUGAAACUGUACGGCUGGAGGGCAGGAGAGGUAAGUGGCAUUCCUCGUGUAGCGGUGCAAUGCGUCGAUAUUAGGAGGACCACCAGUGGCGAAUGCGGCUUACUGGACUGUACCUGACGUUGAGGCUCGACAGCGUGGGGAGCACACAGGAUUAGCUACCCGGGUAGUC
rnacentral:rRNA from 1 species